UGAGUAACGCGUGGAUAAUCUACCCUCAAGAUGGGGAUAACGGCUGGAAACGGUCGCUAAUACCGAAUACGCUCCCGAUUUUAUCGUUGGGGGGAAAGAUGGCCUCUGCUUGCAAGCUAUCGCUUAAGGAUGAGUCCGCGUCCCAUUAGCUAGUUGGCGGGGUAACGGCCCACCAAGGCAACGAUGGGUAGCCGGUCUGAGAGGAUGACCGGCCACACUGGAACUGGAACACGGUCCAG
rnacentral:rRNA from 1 species